UUUUGGACCUGGCACUUUGCCGUUUUCAUUUUUUUAAAUCAAGAUCUCUAAAACGCAGAGUUUUGAAGUUCUGUUAAGGGUUCCCAACCAAAUCCUUAAAGCACACCAACAGUCAGUGACCCCACUGAAACAUAAUUGAGAAAAGCUUAAACCAUGGACUUUUCUGGUGUUCCUUGAGUACUGGGUUGGGAACCACUGAGCUAUAUCAU